rnacentral:rRNA from 1 species
GGAGGGGGCGAGCGUUAUUCGGAAUUAUUGAGCGUAAAGGGCGCGUAGGCGGCCCAGCAAGUCAAAGGUGAAAUCCCUCGGCUCAACUGAGGAACUGCCUUUGAAACUGCGGGGCUUGAGGCCGGGAGGGGGUAGCGGAAUUCCCAGUGUAGCGGUGAAAUGCGUAGAUAUUGGGAGGAACACCAGUGGCGAAGGCGGCUACCUGGACCGGUACUGACGCUGAUGCGCGAAAGCGUGGGUAGCAAACAGGAUUAGAUACCCUGGUAGUCCACGCUGUAAACGAUGGGUGCUCGGUGUCGCGGGUAUCGACCCCUGCGGUGCCUUAGCCAACGCGUUAAGCACCCCGCCUGGGGAGUACGGUCGCAAGGCUG